AAACCCAAUGAAUGAGGGGUAAGGAGGAUGCCAAGGUGUGAUCCUAAAACCAAUGCAUAUGAGGAGAUAGCAUGAGGGAUCUUAGGGUCAAAAUCGGGGUCUUACAAUCACUACAAAUAUUUUUGUCAUAUUGUUGUUGUUGUUGUUGUUAUUUUUAUUGUUGUUAUUGUUUUUGUGUUGUUGUUGUUGUUGUUGUUGAGAUUCGAAACUCUAGAGUUU
rnacentral:lncRNA from 1 species